rnacentral:rRNA from 1 species
CAACUUUCAGCAAUGGAUCUCUUGGCUCUCGCAUCGAUGAAGAACGCAGCGAAUUGCGAUAUGUAAUGUGAAUUGCAGAUCUACAGUGAAUCAUCGAAUCUUUGAAUGCACAUUGCGCUCCUCGGUGUUCCGAGGAGCAUGCCUGUUUGAGUGUCAGUA